rnacentral:rRNA from 1 species
GGUUGAUCCUGCCAGUAGUCAUAUGCUUGUCUCAAAGAUUAAGCCAUGCAUGUCUAAGUAUGAGCUGCUCAUACUGUGAAACUGCGAAUGGCUCAUUAAAUCAGUUAUAGUUUAUUUGAUGGAUACCUUGCUACACGGAUAACCGUAGUAAUUCUAGAGCUAAUACGUGCGCACACCCCGACUCCCGGAAGGGGCGUAUUUAUUAGAUACCAAGGCCGACCGGGGGCUUGCCCCCGACAAGCGGUGAAUCAUGAUAACUCGACGAACCGCACGGCCCUGCGCCGGCGGUGGUU